AAGCAAUUGGAUGCUCUAUUCAGGAAAUGGUAUUCCUUUUUUCCUCCAUCAGUGGGGAUGCAUUCUGCAAGCUUCCAGCUAGAAGAAGGUGCUUGUAGAUCUUUUCAGACCCUCUCUUUUCUAUUUAACUCUUCAGGCACCAAGUUUUCAUGAAUUUGCACACUUUCUAAAACUUUGGGAUGACAGUGGAAACUCUUCUUUUCUUAUAGAAUGGUUUAUGGUGCCCUCUUUUGGAUUUCCAUUUCAAUUCCCAGGCUGGAGCAUGACCCCUGCCGCUCUGAGUUGAACCUAAGAAAUGUGACCAGAACUGGGUUUCCACACAGCUGGCUGCUUGUUUUGUUUUGUUUGGUUUGGGAUAUGAGGAGUAGGGAUUCCAAUUCCCACUCGUGUCUGGCUAGUCCUGGGUCCUGGAAGGGACCAAGCUGGUGAUCCCUUCCAGCUUUCCCAUGUAUAGUGAGGAAUUGUAGGCUGGGGAUGAAAAGGUUGUCUCUGUGGCCGAGAACAGCCAGCAAAACUCUGCUCUCCUGUUAUUCCAGUCAGCUACCUGACUUCCGCUCUUCCCAUGGCUUUAUAAUGAAAAUUGUUCAAAUGAAGAUGUAUGACUUUAUUUUGGUGGGAUGUCUCAGGCGUUUGGUUUGAGGGAUGAAAUGCGUACUUAGCUUUCCACUCAUGCAUAGCCUAGCUAGUCUUUUCAUUACUGCAUUUGGCUCAGUCUUUGCCCAUCAAGCUCUGGCCUCCUUCCUAGGAUAAGUCAUGGCUUUGACUCCAGAGGCAGCCUGAGCCUCCUGCCCCUCUGAUGCUGCUUCCCUGGGCUGCCAGCGUUGGCCUGGAUCACAGGGCCAUUGUGUCAAUAUCCUUCAGUCUUCAACCUAGGAGAUGAAAUUUGAACUGCUCUUGGGGGCAGGAUGUCAGCUUCCUGGAAAAACAACAGACUCUGUCACCUGGAACUGAGUGGCAACAUCCAAGCUGUGAGAAACAUUCUGAAAAUCGAAUGCUGUCUGUGGUCCUUAACACGGGGGGUCCUGGUUCACCAGAGGUGGAACGGCUUUGCUUCGGGGGAAAAUUUUCCAGUCCCAACUGAACACAUUCUCAAAAUGCAGAGCAUUAUGGCCUCUUUGUUUUCCCUGCCUCCUGCAUGAAAGAAGAUACCUGCAAGCAAUUUCCUGUGCUGACAGAUCAGGAACGAAGUCUCUGAGCUCAAGGGCAAAUGGGAGAACUGCCUGCAUCAGGCUGGUCAUUGGGGAAGACUAAUGGCUACAAAGCACCAGCUGAAGAUAUCACCUGGUUAUUUAAAAACCUUUGUGUAGUACAAUGAGCCAAAUGCAAGUUCUAUGCAGAGGACAAGGAACUAUUCAUUUCACUCAGGUUUAACUUUUCAGAAGAGCCCUUUUCAGAAGAGGGCCCCUCUAUUUUGAGAGCACUAAAUCCUCUUGGUGACUUUGGUAAAAGAGACAUGAAAUAACAGAGGAAGCAAAUGUGUUUCAGAUGGAAAUUAAUGGCUCUUGGAAUGGAAUGCCUGGUAAACAUCUGGUGUCCUUUUAUCUUGAAUGAAUGUCUGUCUCCCUUAGUUAAUAGAUUACACCUGUUGACCAACCAAACCUCUCCCUACAUCCAAAUGAAGGUGAAAACACUGAUGUAGAGGUCCCACCCCUAGAGAAAGAUCCUGAUAUAAUCUCUUGGAUUUGCCCUGGGCUUGGGGAAAGUUUUUAAAGUUCCCAGGUGAUUUUAAUAUGCAGCCAAGAUUGAGAACCCCAGUGUAAACAGAAGGAGACUUUGAUAGAUUGGGGGAUAUAAUUUAUUCAUGCAGCAAAAAUUAAAACAAGCUAACUAGUAGCGAUAUGAAUUGUUUAUAAAUAUUUUGUCAUGUGUUUAAAACAUUUUUAAAUGUUUACAUUGUUUACAUUAGAUUUUUAAAUUAUUUUUAUCAGUUUUAGACUUUAUAUUUGAUUUAUUGAGCUCUUGUCAGUAUUAUAAACACAUCAUGAGGCAGAUGUUCUCCUGUCCAUUGUGUCAGUGAUGAGCAACUAUUAACAAACAAAAAUAAGAUGAGUCUACAUAUUGCUCACAGACCCAUGCGUGCCGUCCUUUCAGACUUUUCCCCAGGGGACAACCCUAUAGUGGAUCACCUCUGAUUGAGGACAAUCUGGGGUGGCCAUUUGACACAUUAUGUUUUCUAUUUUAUAACUAGUUUAUAUAGUCAUUUUUAAAAAAGAAUUAGAUAAAUAUAACUGGGUGACUGGCUGAGAGUCCGUCUUUGCAUGGUAGGAGGAAAUUUAACUUAUAUUAGGAGAAAUAUGGUUCUGGAAAAACUAUUAAGUAGUCUGUGCUAGUCAAAGGCUCCUUGAAUUAAAGAAUGUCUGAACUGUGUUGCCAAUAAACCAUCCUCUUGUAGACAAUACUAUGCACUGGUACUUGCAACUGUCUUUACAACUUUGGUUUAAUGACUAUUAAGGCACGACCACAAAACAAACAGGAAAAAGUAAUGCUGAAAAAGUAAUGCAGUAAUACCAUAGUUCCAACCUAAUGCAAACACAUAGAUCCAUAACCACCUCCCACAUAACCAACUAUGCCUGAAAACUCUUAAAUCUGUACAAGAUGUGCUUAUUUAAGACCUUUACUGGCUACCCUUGCAUCCAGCAAUUAAAUACUAGGAAUCUAUGAUUGA